rnacentral:lncRNA from 1 species
AUGCAAGAGGGCACAAAAAGUGACAAAAAGCGGCACUUCCCUCAGAUGCGCACACAUGGCUUUAUCGCGCCCGCACAGAUUAGCAGCAGCGGGACACGCAGAGAUUCUGGGUGUGCAGGAAUGUCCCCAACAAAGGCUCGCUGCGCAGGACAGGACAGUGGGGCUCUCCACCUGACACGCUGCGCUGCCCUUCGCUCAGUUGUGGGGUGCGGGCAGGGAUCUGGAGUGUUCCCAUCGGGAUGGGAAAUCCAAAACCACUGCUCCUGCUGCAAAAGCCCGGGACGAGACCUGUGUUCCCACGGAAGAGGUCUCAGGAGGACAGCAGCUGGAUUCAGCCUCAAGAUCCCUCCCAGUGCUCAGCUAUCAUUUAAAGCGUUAAAAAUCCUUCUGCCCUGGCUCAGGCUCCGGAGGACUGAGAGCCCUUUGUGUGCAGUGCUGACACGGCAGCCUGGCCCGUGAAGGCAGGAUUGUACCGGGUCUGGGGGAGAGAGGGGAUAAUGAAUAAACCUCACUGUUUUCCCCCUGUAAUUCUCCA